CUGUGUUACACAAUUCCUAGACUUAUUGGCUAUGGUACCUAGAAGUGCUGAGAGUCGCUGUAUAUUUCCAUAGCAUCUGGAGUGUGCUGAUUUCCAUGAUUUGUAUAGAUAUAAAUUUGAUUUUAGCUGAAGAUACAUCAGCUAUUUUUCUCUGAUUCU